rnacentral:rRNA from 1 species
UCGAGCGAGCACUUGACAGAUUUCUUCGGAAUGAAGUUCCUGUGACUGAGCGGCGGACGGGUGAGUAACGCGUGGGUAACCUGCCUCAUACAGGGGGAUAACAGUUAGAAAUGACUGCUAAUACCGCAUAAGCGCACGGUAUCGCAUGAUACAGUGUGAAAAACUGAGGUGGUAUGAGAUGGACCCGCGUUAGAUUAGCCAGUUGGCGGGGUAACGGCCCACCAAAGCGACGAUCUAUAGCCGGCCUGAGAGGGCGACCGGCCACAUUGGGACUGAGACACGGCCCAAACUCCUACGGGAGGCAGCAGUGGGGAAUAUUGCACAAUGGGGGAAACCCUGAUGCAGCGACGCCGCGUGAGCGAAGAAGUAUUUCGGUAUGUAAAGCUCUAUCAGCAGGGAAGAAAAUGACGGUACCUGA